CCAGUGAAAUUAGUAUUUUUAAACGGCCGCGGUACCUUGAACCGUGCGAAGGUAGCAUAAUCAAUUGUCUUAUAAUUAAAGACUGGAAUGAAUGGUUAAACGAAAUUAAGGCUGUCUCAUUUAUAUUGUUUAAAAAUUGGCUUUUAAAUGAAGAGAUUUAAAUUUAAUUAAAAGACAAGAAGACCCUAUUGAGCUUUAAAUGAUUUUAAGGUUAUAAUUAUUAUUGAAAAUUUAAAUCUGGAAGAUUUUUUAGUUGGGGCGACUAAGGAACAAAUAGAGCUUCCUAUCAUUAUUAUAACUGAUAUGUUUUGACCCAAUAUAAUUUGGUUAAAAGAGAUAGUUACCAUAGGGAUAACAGCUAAUCUUCUUUGAGAGUUCUUAUCGAAAGGAGGGGUUGUGACCUCGAUGUUGGACUAAAAUAUCCUAAAAAUGU
rnacentral:rRNA from 1 species